rnacentral:rRNA from 1 species
GAUGAACGCUAGCUACAGGCUUAACACAUGCAAGUCGAGGGGAAACGACAUUGGAAGCUUGCUUCCGAUGGGCGUCGACCGGCGCACGGGUGAGUAACGCGUAUCCAACCUGCCCACCACUUGGGGAUAACCUUGCGAAAGUAAGACUAAUACCCAAUGAUAUUUAAAGAAGACAUCUGAAUUAAAUUAAAGAUUUAUCGGUGAUGGAUGGGGAUGCGUCUGAUUAGCUUGUUGGCGGGGUAACGGCCCACCAAGGCUACGAUCAGUAGGGGUUCUGAGAGGAAGGUCCCCCACAUUGGAACUGAGACACGGUCCAAACUCCUACGGGAGGCAGCAGUGAGGAAUAUUGGUCAAUGGGCGAGAGCCUGAACCAGCCAAGUAGCGUGCAGGAAGACGGCCCUAUGGGUUGUAAACUGCUUUUAUAAGGGAAUAAAGUGAGAGUCAUGACUCUUUUUGCAUGUACCUUAUGAAUAAGGACCGGCUAAUUCCGUG